AGAUGUUCACAGUGCUGAACACCCACUUGAGGAAGCGUUCACACAGAUGGAUGAUGUUGACAUUGCUGAGGAGCCACCUCAGGAAAGAGAGACAGCAGAGGAAGCGCCUUCACUGAUGGAUGGUCCAUCUGAUUAUUUAGAUAACCUGGAUGACACCGCAAGAAUUAAGUUCCUUGAGUCUUAUAUUUAUGGUA